UACGGGAGGCAGCAGUAGGGAAUUUUGCACAAUGGGCGCAAGCCUGAUGCAGCAACGCCGCGUGAAGGAUGAAGGCCUUCGGGUUGUAAACUUCUGUUCUUAGGGAAGAAGAAAGUGACGGUACCUAAGGAGCAAGCCCCGGCUAACUACGUGCCAGCAGCCGCGGUAAU
rnacentral:rRNA from 1 species